GUCUGAGAGGCCAGGGUUCAUUUUCAACAUCAAGGAGGCCUCUCUUAGCAUGUCUGCCCUCAGACAAGCCACAUAAACAGCAGUUCCAGAAAUGAGUCAGGAAAGCGUUCUGUGUCGGCGGCCCUUUGAAGGGGCCCACUCUGCCACUUUAAAGUCGCAACUCCCAGGACUGCAGGAACAGUAGCAAAGGACAGAAAAGGCCUGCCAGGCAAGCACCGGCCAUAUUCGACCUUUUCUCUACGGGACCUGUUGCAUCUCAGACCCAUCACUGUGGAGACUGGCAGAACUUGCACUAAGCAACGCUGGGAAGGAGGAUCCAUCUUAUUUGCCACAGCAUGUCCUCAAGGCUCAGGGCACCAGCCCACGUGAGAACUAACCCAGCCUCAGCUCUGCCAACUGUGUCAAGUCCCCUGCAGCUGUUCCAGCGCAUCGGCUUACUUUCUGGCCUGGCCUUCCUAGAACACAAUCACCGCCCCACCCAGCUCCGGUGAUCAUGUGGUACUGAUCAUGAACUGAGUCCACAGGCAUCUAAGUGUGAGCAUCCCUUCUGCCUGCCCCUCUUCUCUUCUCUUCUCUCGGGUUUUCCCAGACUCUGAGCCCAAGCACGCGUGCCUUGUGCUGGAGGUCCUCAAUGUCACAGAUUCUUAGCGUCUACAAACCACACACUUUCCCACGUCUCCUCCACCACCCAGUGCAGUGGGGGUGGGGACCAGCAGGAACCUGGCUGCUGCUCCCAGACUUGCAUUGCUUCUUUCUUCUGCCCAGUUCUUACUGAAUCGUACAGAGAGCCUCACUGCCCAGAGAAGCCCUGGGGGAACUCUGGCUCUGCACCACCUCCCCUAACCACUGAGCCACACCCACAAUGUCAUGCACUGCAUCUCCCUACACCCCAAGCUUCCCUGCCCUUCCCUCUAGCAUCACGAGUUUACCUCUGACAGACCUGGUCCUGGUUCCCAUCACACCUCAACUGCAAUCUCCAGCAAUGGAACCUGGUCUCCAGCAGGGCAUAAGGCUCUUCUCAAGCAGAAAUCCGUCCUCCCAGAGCUGGGAGAAUGGCCGAGUCGGUACAGUGCUUGCCACGCAAGCACACGGACCUCAGUCCAGAUCCCCAGAACCAAUUAAGUGCUGUGUGCCUGAAACCCUAGGCCAGCCAGCCUUGCCAAUUGGUGAGCUCUAGGCCAGUCUGUUUAAGAGCAAGGACAUGGCAUUCCUGAGGACGACACCCAACGUUAUUCUCUGACCUCCAAUGCACCUGCAUACACACAUGGACAUGCACACAACUCCUUGCCCGCCCCUCCAGAAACUAGUCUUUCCCCCACAGGCCCCACCCCUCAUGAGCACAGCAACUCAACGUCUCCUGAAUUAGCUGCUUCCAGUCUUCAAUGCUAAGGGUUUCUUUUGUUUGGUUUCUUUGAGACAGGGUUUUAUGUAGCCCAGGCUAGACUUCAACUGUAGACCCUCCUGCCUUCACCUCUUGGGGAUUACAGGUACGUGCCACCUUUCCUGGCAUUCUCUUUGCAUACCGCAAACGUCUUUCAUACACUUGGCACUCAAGUGGCCCUGAACCAGGACGACCUGAGCUACCCAGGGCCCAUGGUUCCCAGCAUUCCACCCAAUAUGGUGGUUUGCCCUUACAGCAGGAAACUGAAGAUGCAGACCCACGAAAGCGACAUGACAAUACGGGUACAAGCAAGCUCAGCCCCAGAUCCUAGCAAGGAAAUUAAACAUGAAGGUACAGGCAGGCCCUUUUGUAAUUUUUGUGUUGUUUUGUUUUAAGUCUGAGUCUUACCCUGUAGCCCAGGCUGGCCUGAACCUCACUAUGCGGCCCAGGCUGCCCUCAAACUCACAGCAAUCUUCUUGCCUAAGCUCACAAGAACUGGCACCACGCUCCACCUUAGGCAACUCGCUCCACCUUAGGCAACUCGCGAAGUUGCAGUAUCAUACCCAGCACAUAGCAGUUUCCCAACAAUCUUUUUUCUCUCCUUCACACCCGGAAACAGGGCCCUAACUCAUGUUACCUAGGCUGGAGCCACACGGUGCUGUCCCAGCAAUGGAAGGCUCACAGCCCCGUUCUCCCCCGAGGGUGACAUUCCCACUCAAUUCCGGGGCUCCCAGCGCAGCGUGGGAUUAUAAAAUAAAUAAUUUAAGAAGGGUGCAAACAUUACAGCUCUCUGUGCGACAGCUAGGCGGAUGUGCGGAAGGAACCCAAGGUCUGCCAGCGAUGUCUUCGUGGCCAGAAGCCCAAAGAGAAGAUAGGUCCUACUGUUAGCCACUAAUGCGCGGCUUCCUGUGGCCCACCAGGCAUGAGGCUGCUGCUGGGGGCACCCGCAGCAAUGCACAGGGCAGGAGGAUGCUCAGUAGACUGGGGUGAGAUGUGGGGCCAGUGCUUGCUCGGUACAAAACCUGGCUUCGGAGACAGCCUCCUGCAAGGUCUGGCCGGGACACUGCAGCACAACAGUCUCUGAACAAUUGCUUUCUCGCCUGGACACCCAAACAGCCAGAGGCAAAACUGGGAAGGUGUUUUCCCAACCUCCGAGCCAGCCGCUACUACUGCAAAGGAGGUCGGCCAAGUGGCCACACCUUCCUCCACGCAUUCUGCAGGGCUGCACAAGAAGAUGGCUCAGAGAAGGUGCACGCUUGGCUAAGGUUACACAGCCAGCUGGACAGAACUGGGAUUCGAACCCGGGACCACGUGGGAGCUGCCUAAGCCAGGCAGAAGGAGGUACCAAUCUGCAUCGCCAAACCAUGGACCAUCGCCCCACCCUAGGACUCGGGACUCCUACGCACCCCUCGCUCUGCUCGAGCCUGCGCUCCUCACCUAGCGCCCGCCACAGUCACCGCCGCUGCUGCUGUUGCUGGUGAUGCUGAUUCUGCAGCCGAAAUCGCCUCCUCCCGCUAGCAGCCCCGCCCGAGGCGCGGCUCCGCCCCCAGGCAGACCUCCCUCCAUCCUCUCGCGAGAGCUAACGAGCGGGACUACGCCCGUUCUGGAUGCGCUUGCGCACUUCUCCCCGUUCCUGCCCUCGCCAGCCAGUGCCAUGUGGCACCUUAUUUACGGCCAGAGAUUGGUCCCACCCACCAUCCCUGAGCGUCCCGCCCCUUUUGCAGCAACCAAUCCGGAGUGGGGGCGUGGCUGAUCUCAAGGGGCGUUGCCUGUCUCGCAGUUUGAACUUGCAACGUGGGCUGUGCAAGCUGACAAUCCUGUCAGAGUUUAUGGGGCUUAAGAGAGACCAUGCAGGUGGAACUGCAGCAGUGUCGUGCUGCCUCCUUAAGAAGCCACCUGACAUGCCAUAUAAAACAUGCCCUUUCCUGGGCUGGGCAGAUGGCCCAGUGGGGAAGAAUGCUUGCUGAGAAAGCAUCAGGACCUGAGACUGAACCCUCCCUACCCUCAGCGACCAUGUAAAAGGCUGGGUCCAGCCCCGUGCAUGCCUAUGUCAUCACUGCUGAGGAUCGGUGUAGCCUCCCCACCCCCAGCCUGGAACCUGCUGGCUCAGGGGUGGAGUUUCCUGCUCAUUCCUUCUGCCACGCCCACUGCUGGACCGUGCCGCUUUGCUGCUUGGAGCCACACACGUGUU